rnacentral:tRNA from 1 species
GCUGGCAUAGCUCGAUUGGUAGAGUAACUGAUUUGUACUCAGAGGGUUGGGGGGGCAAUUCCUCCUGUCAGCUCCA